CCUACGGGAGGCAGCAGUGAGGAAUAUUGGUCAAUGGGCGCUAGCCUGAACCAGCCAAGUCGCGUGAGGGAUGACGGCCCUAUGGAUUGUAAACUUCUUUUGUCGGGGAGUAAAAUACGCCACGUGUGGCGUUUCGAGUGUACCCGAAGAAAAAGCAUCGGCUAACUCCGUGCCAGCAGCCGCGGUAAUACGGAGGAUCCGAGCGUUAUCCGGAUUUAUUGGGUUUAAAGGGUGCGUAGGCGGACGGUAAAGUCAGCGGUAAAAUUGGGAGGCUCAACCUCUAAGUGCCGGUGAUACUGGUUUUCUUGAGUGAGUGAGAGGUAUGCGGAAUGCGUGGUGUAGCGGUGAAAUGCAUAGAUAUCACGCAGAACUCCGAUUGCGAAGGCAGCAUACCGGCGCUCAACUGACGCUCAUGCACGAAAGUGUGGGUAUCGAACAGGAUUAGAUACCCUUGUAGUC
rnacentral:rRNA from 1 species